GAUGAAUGCUGGCGGCGUGCCUAACACAUGCAAGUCGAGCGGUAAGGCCCUUCGGGGUACACGAGCGGCGGACGGCUGAGUAACGCGUGGGAACAUACCCCAGAGUGAGGGAUAACGCACCGAAAGGUGUGCUAAUACCGCAUAAUCUCUUUGGAGCAAAGCAGUAAUGCGCUUUGGGAAUGGCCUGCGUACGAUUAGAUAGUUGGUGAGGUAAUGGCUUACCAAGUCGACGAUCGUUAGCUGGUCUGAGAGGAUGACCAGCCAGACUGGAACUGAGACACGGUCCAGACUCCUACGGGAGGCAGCAGUGAGGAAUCUUCCACAAUGGGGGCAACCCUGAUGGAGCAACGCCGCGUGCAGGAUGAAGGCCUUCGGGCCGUAAACUGCUUUUAUAAGUGAAGAAUAUGACGGUAACUUAUGAAUAAGCACCGGCUAACUACGUGCCAGCCGCCGCGGUAA
rnacentral:rRNA from 1 species